UUCCCUUUUUGGCAUAGACUUGUAACGACAGGGGAUGACCCCUUCGGACAAUGAAAACAAACCCUAAUGUGGGCAAAGUUGAAAGUCCGAUUAUUUUUAGAUCGGAUGGAGGAGAGGCCACACAGCGCCCAUAUGCGCCCCCACAGCCAUGUUAGGGACGGGAGGAGAACCUCGUCCUAACAUGAGCAAGGUCGAAGGCCCAGUUAUUUUUAGACCGGAUGGGGGGAGAGGCCACACAGCGUCCAUAUGCACCCCCACAGCCAUGUUAGGGACAGGAGGAGAACCUCGCCCUAACAUGAGCAAGGUCGAAGGUCCGAUUAUUUUUAGACCGGAUGGGGGGAGAGGCCAUACAGUACCCAUAUGCACCUCCACAGCCAUGUUAGGGACAGGAGGAGAACCUCGCCCUAACAUGAGCAAGGUCGAAGGCCCGGUUACUUAUAGACCGGAUGGGGGGAGAGGCCAUACAGCAUCCAUAUGUGCCUCCACAGCCAUGUUAGGGACAGGAGGAGAACCUCGCCCUAACAUGAGCAAGGUCGAAGGCCUGGUUAUUUGUAGACCGGAUGGAGGGAGAGGCCACACAGCGCCCAUAUGUGCCCCCACAGCCCUGUUAGGAACAGAAGGAGAACCUCAUCCUAACCUGAGCUGAAACCGAUCACAUCAAAAAUAGGGGAAGAACCUCAUCCUAACCUGAGCUGAAAUCGAUCACAUCAGAAAUAGGAAAAGAACCUCAUCCUGACACCAAUUAAGGUCCGACCAUUCGAGACCCGACAAGAAAGAAGAAAACCUUCUCGGCGGCCCUUCUACGCUACCGCGACUCCGUAAAAAGCUAGGGAGAAUCCUUGCUUAAAAGAAGGAGGGAAAUGUGAAGGAACAGCAGCGGGCUACCCCAACGAAAAACGGAGGCCAAACUACACUAAAAGCACAAAGGACCUCAUCUCCAUGAAGGAGGAAGAGAAAGUAAGAUCUACGGUCACGAACAAAAAGGCAAAUCAACACGACGAUGGCUAGGAACCUCUAAGCAGUGUCGACGCCGAACCAAUCAAAAACACAAGAAACUCGGUAAUGACGACCUAAUACAAAGAUGAACAAGGAACCUUCGAACAACAUCGACAUUGUAUGGGACAAAAAUGAAAGAAGUCCGGCACACGAUAAUUCAACACGACGUACGGGUAAGGUAACAAAGAUCUUUUCAUUUCAUUAGCAAAGUAUGCAUUACAGAGCCUGGAAGGUCCAAAAAAAAACAACAACAACAACGACAACAAACAGACAAGC
rnacentral:lncRNA from 1 species